UGUGCUUUUCUUUUUUUCAUUUCCUUCCUUGCUUUCAGAAACGGGGAUUAUGACUUUAGCAUAUUACUUUUGGAACUCUCCAUUGAUUAUUAAAUGUUGUUUUUUAUCCGUAUGAUUUUGUAUCUUGUCAUAGUUGUAGGAGGAUUAUUGUAAAUAAAAAUCUACUACUUUUGCAGGACUCCAGAGCGCCAGCUUCGGUUGUUUGAUAUUAGAGUAAGGCAGAUGGAGCUCCACUCAUAUGGGUGGAAGCAAGAAAGUAGCGAAUCACAAUCAGCCCUUAUUAAUCAGGCUUGGUCACCUGAUGGUCUAUACAUUACUUCUGGUUCAGCAGACCCUGCCAUCCAUGUCUUUGAUAUCAGAUACAACGCUCGCAAACCGUCUCAAUCUAUAAGAGCACAUCAGAAACGUGUCUUCAAAGCAAUAUGGCACCAUGCUCUCCCACUCUUGAUCUCCAUUUCUUCUGAUUUGCAGAUUGGAUUGCACAGAAUCAUAUGAUUUCCUAAAUUAAUCAGCACUGUUUCCUUAUUCUUCCAAUCAGUGGUCCUGUUAUCUGGGAAGUUUCACAUCGUUGAUAAUGAACACUAUUUGGUGAAAGACCAAUUCAAAAUGUGCCCCGGCUACCCCACUUCGGACGUGGUUAUGUCAUUGCAGCACGUGCAUGUGUCAUGUCCUGCAUCCUGAUGAGAUAAAGGUGGUUAAAAUCCAGAGUGAAAGGUGAAAUUUAUAUGAAACUUCAACCUGAGUUUGUUAAGUAAAAUUUACUGCAUCAUGGUUUUUGAUUGACAUGGAAGUAAUAAAUGUUGCAUGAGGUAUUAUCCUUUCUUGAUGUUGGCUGGCAAAUGAACGCCAGUUAAUGAUGUUUUUUUUCUGAAAAUGUAUGUUUCUCUCUUAAGAAACGGUUUACUCCUGUUUUUCUCUUAAUGAAGUUCAUUCAACUCAAUUUCAUCAUAUGCCAAAAGUACCGUAACCCUUGCAAAUACUAGAAUAGCAAUUGAUCAGUAGCUCCACCA
rnacentral:lncRNA from 1 species